CGAAAGCCUGACGGAGCAAGACCGCGUGAGGGAUGACGGCCUAAUGGUUGUAAACCUCUUUUCUCUGGGAAGAUAAUGACGGUACCAGAGGAAUAAGCCUCGGCUAACUCCGUGCCAGCAGCCGCGGUAAUACGGAGGAGGCAAGCGUUAUCCGGAAUUAUUGGGCGUAAAGCGUCCGUAGGUGGUUAAUCAAGUCAGCUGUUAAAGAGCGGAGCUUAACUCCGUUAGAGCGGUUGAAACUGAUUGACUAGAGUUUGGUAGGGGUCGAGGGAAUUCCCAGUGUAGCGGUGAAAUGCGUAGAUAUUGGGAAGAACACCGGUGGCGAAGGCGCUCGACUGGGCCUGAACUGACACUGAGGGACGAAAGCUAGGGGAGCG
rnacentral:rRNA from 1 species